UACGUAGGGGGCAAGCGUUGUCCGGAAUCAUUGGGCGUAAAGAGCGUGUAGGCGGUCCGGUAAGUCGGCUGUGAAAUUCCAGGGCUCAACCCUGGGAUGCCGGUCGAUACUGCCGGACUAGAGUUCGGAAGAGGCGAGUGGAAUUCCCGGUGUAGCGGUGAAAUGCGCAGAUAUCGGGAGGAACACCUAUGGCGAAGGCAGCUCGCUGGGACGUUACUGACGCUGAGACGCGAAAGCGUGGGGAGCAAACAGG
rnacentral:rRNA from 1 species